UACGUAGGGGGCAAGCGUUAUCCGGAUUUACUGGGUGUAAAGGGGGCGCAGACGGCGAUGCAAGCCAGGAGUGAAAGCCCGGGGCCCAACCCCGGGACUGCUCUUGGAACUGCGUGGCUGGAGUGCAGGAGAGGUAAGUGGAAUUCCUAGUGUAGCGGUGAAAUGCGUAGAUAUUAGGAGGAACACCAGUGGCGAAGGCGGCUUACUGGACUGUAACUGACGUUGAGGCUCGAAAGCGUGGGGAGCAAACAGG
rnacentral:rRNA from 1 species